rnacentral:rRNA from 1 species
UACAGAGGUCUCGAGCGUUGUUCGGAUUCAUUGGGCGUAAAGGGUGCGUAGGCGGCGGGGCAAGUCUGAUGUGAAAUCCCGGGGCUCAACCCCGGAACUGCAUUGGAUACUGCCUUGCUUGAGUACUGGAGAGGGAACUGGAAUUUACGGUGUAGCAGUGAAAUGCGUAGAGAUCGUAAGGAAGGCCAGUGGCGAAGGCGAGUUCCUGGACAGUUACUGACGCUGAGGCACGAAGGCCAGGGGAGCAAACGGG